rnacentral:ncRNA from 2 species
AGGAGCCGUAUGAUGCGAAAGUAUCACGUACGGUUCUGAAGACGAGUCGGUGGGGCGACUCACCGGCUUAGUUUAAU